GGGCUUUAACUGACGCUGAGGCACGAAAGCGUGGGUAGCAAACAGGAUUAGAUACCCUGGUAGUCCACGCUGUAAACGAUGAUUACUAGGUGUGGGGGGACUGACCCCUUCCGUGCCGGAGUUAACACAAUAAGUAAUCCACCUGGGGAGUACGGCCGCAAGGUUGAAACUCAAAGGAAUUGACGGGGGCCCGCACAAGCAGUGGAGUAUGUGGUUUAAUUCGAAGCAACGCGAAGAACCUUACCAGGUCUUGACAUCCAACUAACGAAGUAGAGAUACAUCAGGUGCCCUUCGGGGAAAGUUGAGACAGGUGGUGCAUGGUUGUCGUCAGCUCGUGUCGUGAGAUGUUGGGUUAAGUCCCGCAACGAGCGCAACCCUUGCUAUUAGUUGCUACGCAAGAGCACUCUAAUAGGACUGCCGUUGACAAAACGGAGGAAGGUGGGGACGACGUCAAAUCAUCAUGCCCCUUAUGACCUGGGCUACACACGUACUACAAUGGCCAUCAACAGAGGGAAGCAAAACAGCGAUGUGGAGCAAACCCCUAAAAAUGGUCUCAGUUCAGAUUGCAGGCUGCAACCCGCCUGCAUGAAGUCGGAAUGCU
rnacentral:rRNA from 1 species